UACAUAGGGGGCGAGCGUUAUCCGGAAUUAUUGGGCGUAAAGGGUGCGUAGGCGGUUUAUUAAGUCUGACGUGAAAUACCACAGCUUAACUGUGGAGGGUCGUUGGAAACUGGUAAACUUGAGUACAGUAGAGGUAAGUGGAAUUCCAAGUGGAGCGGUGGAAUGCGUAGAUAUUUGGAGGAACACCAGUGGCGAAGGCGGCUUACUGGGCUGGAACUGACGCUGAGGCACGAAAGCGUGGGGAGCAAACAGG
rnacentral:rRNA from 1 species